UGCUUCCUGAAUAACUGCAGAAUGUGCUUCUUGUGGUUAAAUGAGGGAUCUGUUUAAUAUGGAUGAAAUACCAACACUCCAGGCAUUUUCAUUGACAUUUCGCUGUGACUUUUUGAACUUGGAGGAGUGCUGACACGGAACCCUGUCCUUUGUGCUCUGCGAAGCCUACAGGCGGACAGCAGAGCCGGGGCAGGAGAGGGGACAGGCGACGCUGGGGUUCAGCCUUCGUGAUCUUCAUUUUCACUCACACUGCUGUGUUCCCUGUUUUCCAGGACUGUCUCUGAAAGCAGUCAGGAAACCAGGCAAGGGAUUUAUUGUGAUCUUUUCAGGGCUCGCGAAUCCGAUUUCUCUCCAGCGAUAUUAGCCUUGCUCACCGGCCCAAGUGAGGACGUUGGUGCUGGGCGUUUAUUUCUCAAGACUUGUCAAAAAGGUCAAGGGUCACUGUGUCUUUCGGAACCAGAAGCCUCCCAGAGCGGCUGGGCAGAGCCCUGUGACCCUGCGCCCUGGGCACAUUUGCAAACAGACGCAGGGUCCGGGGGUCCAGGGCAGCCCCGCUCCCCCUCCCGGGUCGGUGCCGGUCGAGCCCCGCUCCCGGGCAGCCCUAGCGUCUGGCGGCGGCUCGGGAAAGACAUGCUGUUUUGUUUAAAUCCUCCACAUUCUUUGCCAUUUCCCCAUUGGCCGGAUGGGGCUACCCUCCCCGCCGCGGCCGCUGCUGAUGUCAGCUUCGCCGCGCUCGCUCCUCCCGCACCCACCUCGCCGGCCCCAGCCUCACUGCAGCGCGGCUCGGCGCGACUCCGGGCCCGGCGAGGCGCCGCAAACUCGCUCGGGGCGGGGGGCGCGCGCUCGGCUGCACGCGCUGCCCCGCGGUGAGUGUCCGGGUCUCCAGGAAAUGGAGACUCCGCGAGGGCUGCUCCGGCCCGGGCCUCCCUUCCGUCCCGGGCCUCACUCCUCGGCUUCCUGACGGUUUCCCAACCGCUCCGCGUCGGUGCGGAGACGGCCGGGGAGCGCGGAGCCAGGCAAGGCAAUUUGCAACUCGGUGGUGUGGCAACGAAUACCACCAGCCACCCAGGCCGUAUUUGUGUUCAAAUGCGGGGCGUGAAAUCUGUCGGAUAACGUUAUCGAGCCGCUGCUUGCUGAAAAGAGCGGUUUUGUGUGGCCUGGACCGGGGCUGGGCUCAGGGGGGCUAUCCUGAUUUGUCAUCUGGGACCAGCGCCGAGGCAAGACCCUGGGGCCAUGAGGGCAAGAGCAAAGGAUCCCGGAGUUUCCAAAACGCCCCACGGCGACCCCGGCUCUGCAGGGCCCGUGGAGCUUUGCAGCUGGUUGGCCCCGGAGGAGGCGGUGGCAUUUGCGCAGGGUCUGGAAGGAUGGAAGCCAUGUGGGGGCAGAGUUAGGGGUGCGUGCAACCUUGUGCGCGGAGAAGCGGCCCCCAGCUUUGUGGAGAAAGAGGAAGGCAGAUGAGCGGAAGUGGCGGACUGGAGUCUUUCCAGAGGAGCUGGCGAUCUGCCCAGCUGGUGGGCACGGAGCUGGGGCAGCGCCGACGGGGCUGGGUAAAGGCUGACUGUGUCCCUGCCUGGUGGGUAUAACUUGGAAAUUUAGGGGCAGUGUUGGGACUGCGUCAACACACACACACACACACACACACACACACUCACACACACACACACACACUCACACAAAUGCAAGACACAGUCAAGAAAAGAACCAGUUCUAGAAUCUUCUCGUCUACUAAAAGUGUCUUUAUCCUGGUCGUUUCUCUUCUCAGACUUCCUCAAACAUGCAAGCAGAGCACUUCUCCCUUUUUUCCUUUCCUUUUUUUUUUUUGAUAUCCACAAGUACCCAGUGAGGUAAUCCCAUGUAAGUGGUAUAGGUGGAGGCCCUUUCUUAAUUGGCCGAUGAAAUCAGACUCCACCUGUAGGAUAAUGUGUAAUUAUAGAUUAUUUAAUGUGUAAUUCAUCUGGAUGAAAAUAAGCAUGAUUCAGUGUGAGUGAGAUCAUUUUCUGAAGUCCUUGUCUACUUUGUCAGAGAAGUGAGGGGGCAAGUGAGAUAGGAGGUUUCAACCCCAAAGAAUUCAGGGGAACCAAAUCAGAUGCUGGGCGAGGGGAGCAGGCCCAGCUUGCCAGAUGUUAGGCCCCCAGAGUCUGAACUGGUAGCAGCCCCGUAAUCUCCACCUUCUCUCUUUUUUUUUUUUUUCCCGGUACCGGGAAUCGAACUCAGAACCUCAUGCUUGCCAGGCAGGCGCUGUGCCGCUGAGCUAAAUCCCCAGCCCCUCCCAUUCUCUCUUUUUGCUCUAUGUCCCUCUGACCUUAACACUGAAAAUUGAGGAGCAGCUUUAGUGUCUUCCAUUGUUUUGCUUCACCCCUUGAUUCACGUUGGACCCGAUUCAACCUGCUGGAACUUCUGGGCUUGUUCCUGUGUGACCUUCACAGUUAAUUAGUAGCACUGUGGUCGGAGUUUUUGCAAAUGAAGCAAAGGCCUGUGUUUUGAAGAGGCAGUGUCUGUUCUUUGCCCCUGGCCUGACACCAUUUCCCCACCCCACAGGUGGGGACUUAGGGAGCCCGGGGUGUUAUUAUCCACCUUGUAAGGAGGGUUAAUGUGCCCCAGGCCACACAGCUAGUUAAUAGCCCAGCGCAGAGCAGAGCCCUGCUACAGCACAUUAUUUGCUUUGCCUUACUCUGGGCUCUGCCCUUCACUAGUAUUUAAUACAGGAAAAGGAGAAGCAUUUCUUGAAAACAGGUAAAGUCAGCACUGUCAGUUAACUCAAAGCAUCAGAGGCCUCUGAGUUGUUCUAGGUAGCGCUGGCUUCUACUAUUUCUCCAGCCUUGUUUCAACACUUGAAAUGUUAACACAGGAAUAGCUCAAGAGGCAAAGAAAAUACAGCUGAGCUGCAGUCUAGAUCAGAGUGUUGGUAGGUUACGUUCUUGUGUGUAUUUGUAUUUAAACAUUAAUUUAAUGUGUAGGGCCGGGGGUGGGGGUGUGUAGCUCAGGGGUAGAGUGCCUGCCUGGCAUGAGCACGGCCCUGGGUUCCAUGCCCAGCACUGGACCAAGGAAUUUCAGAAUAAAGCAUUGUGAGAAGUACCACCGCAUGGAAUAAUUUUCAUUAAAAAACCUCACUGGACGCUGUCUCCUUGUUUGUGUUAAAUGUAGACGUCUCUGAACUAAAUAUAAGCCUGUUGGAAAGUUAGGAACAGAGAAGGUCCCUGGGGGAUGUUAGUUGCUAUAAAGAGAAAACUGUCAUUGUCUUCAUUUGAAACAUUUGGUGACAUAGAUUCCAGAAUGCUAGGCUUGCAAGAGCUGCUCGGUGGAGAGCUCUGGCUGUCCAAGGCUCAGUUAGCUGUCUCAUGGCCAAGGCCAGAGUCCAGGCUGGAGUCCAGGUCCUCUGACGUGAAGCCUUUUGACUGCAGGCCAGGGGGGCCUUUUGCAUUCCUGGUUGGAAGAAAAUAUUAUCCCUGAGGCCUCUGUGGACUCAGGUAUGCUGGGCAGUCUCUGGUUGGAGGUGGCUGGGGACUCUGGCUCUCCUUACCUAGGGGCUAUACCGGGGUAAUCCCUAUUGAAGGGCGGCCAGGGGGCUCUUUGUGUAACAAGCUCACUGGUUGUCCUUGGAUGGUAUGGUUUUUGGGGGUGGGUUUGGUAUGCCUGGUAGAAUCCAAGACCUCCCCACCCCCAGCUAUUCCUCCGGACUGCCACAGGUCCCAAGAUCUUACGCACCAUCUCUGGAGCAGUCUGGUGAUCACCCCUCCCAGACAGAGUGUUUAUUAGCAAGAUAAGCAUUGUGAGCUAAGUACAUCCUUACGUUAUCUAAGGCAGGGAUCCCUUACGUGUCUUUGUUUUCUUUUUGCUAAGUACUAGAGACUGAAUCCAGGGGCACUACCACUGAGCUAUACUCCCAACCACAUCUGUCUGUCUAUGGUGUUGCUAAAUUGCCCAGACUGAACCGGGUGUGGUGACGCAUAGCUGUAAUCACGGCACUCAGGACGCUGAGGCAGGAGGGUCACUGUGAGUUUGAGGGCAGGCUGGGCUAUAUAGUGAGUUCAAGGCCAGCCUGAAUUACAUAGUGAGACCCUGUCUCAAACAAAACAAUACAAAACAAAACAAAACAACACAGAGUAAAUUGCCUAGACUGGCUUCAAAUUUGUAUCUCCCACCUCAACCUACCAAGUAACUGGGAUUACAGGUGACACCGCCAUACUUGGCUUCCUUCCUGUCUUUUCUUUUCUUUUUUUCAUUUUUUCCUGUUUAACUGUUCCUAUCUGACUGUGUUAACAUGAAUGUGUGUACUUUUAGGGAACUAUCUGUGGUCUGUAGGGAUUUGGUGUACAGUGAAGGAAAAUAGAAACACUGUCUUCCCCUUCAGGAAAAGAAGAGAGAGAGAAAGAGAGAAGCAAAGCAACUUUUCAUGCAGAAUAUUACGUUGUUCUUUGCCCUGGCGGGGAGCCAGUGCACUUUAUCCAGGCUCCUCCGGGUCCCUGGAGAGCUUUCUUACGUGCAUUUCUGAGAACAGAUCUGGGAUCAGGGUGGUGCCACCUCCAAAGUAAAUGAAUGCAGAUGCCAAACGUUCAGCAGUGCUUCUUGCGCUUGGUUUAAAUGAUUUAUUAUGAAACACAUCUGCAGGCAUAUUGGGAAAGAAGUUCCGGAAGGACAGAGGUUUUGAGUUGGAUGUUGGCAUUGGUGUUGCUUCUGGUACAAGGCGAUACCUUCACAUAUAAAGCAGAAAUGUGUGGU
ensembl:lincRNA